GUGCGGCUAGUACCGAGGGGGAAACACACAAACACAAUAAAGAAAGAGUUGACCUCCGUACCUUUUGUAUUAUGGGUUAUUAAAAUUGGCUUUUAAAUUAAAAAUCAGCCCCGAAUCUCCUCGAGCUACCCCCCCCACACUCCGGGCUGUGACACUAAUCUCAGGUAAGGGGGGGGUAGGAGUGACAUGCUUUCCGCGUGGAGCGAUAUCUGGUUGGGGGCGAAAUGCAUAUAGUGCAGCGGGGGGGGGUGGGUGGUUGGGUGGUUUCCCGCUGCCCCCACCCCCCCAGUGACGGGAUGGGGGCCAAGCUCCUUCCCUUUUUUAGCAAAAAGCGUCCUUGACGCCAGCGCGAGAACGGGUUUAAUGGCGGCCGGUAUUAAAGAUGCGUAAUAGCACCCGCGGUAACGCAGUAAUAAUUCUAUUCCACACUUUCUUUGGGAUAGCCCCCUGGGUACAUAAUUAGAAUAACAUGAGUAGUAGGUGGGUGCAAAUUGGGCGGGACCACACACCAGGAGAGGGGUCCGGGGGCCCAACGCAUCAAAAAAAAAGACCAAACUAAGGAACUCGGCAAAAAAUACCCCCGCCUGUUUAUCAAAAACAUGUCCCCCCGCCAACUAUGGGGGGUCGGGCCUGCCCAGUGAGAGAUUAAACGGCCGCCGUAAUUGGUGCUAAGGUAGCAAAAUCUAUUGCCCUUUAAUUGAGGGCGUGUGAAUGGUUUGACGUGGGGUAGUCUGUCUCUAUUUGGUAAGGUGAAAUUUACUUUUUGGUGAAAAGGCCAAAAUUUGUGGGCUGGACGAGAAGACCCUGAUGAGCUUUACCGAGCGGGGGGGAGGAAACCCCCCCCAUUGGUUUGGUUGGGGCAACCUAAGAGUAGGGAGAAUCUCUUUUCGAGAAAAAAAAAAUUAUGAUCCGCGAUGAGCGACUAUCAGAAAUAGCUACCACAGGGAUAACAGCGUAAUCUUUCUUGAGAGUUCUUAUUGACGGAAGGGUUUGCGACCUCGAUGUUGAAUUAGGGCAUCCGUGGGGUGUAGAGGCUCCAAAAGGUUGGUCUGUUCGACCAUUAAAGCCCUACAUGAUUUGAGUUCAGACCGGCGUGAGCCAGGUUGGUUUCUAUCCUCCUACCUUAACAUAAAGCCCGUUUGUACGAAAGGACCACGGGCCCCGACUGCGUCGAAGUUUU
rnacentral:rRNA from 1 species